UCUAUCAUCAUCUAACCAUAAGAAAUUAAGUCAUUCUAUCUAAAAUAUCUUAUGCUACACAUCAUCGAUCUCAAUCUGCAUACCAAAUGAAUCCACAAUACAAAAUUGGGAACUAAAUCCAUUUACUAUCAAACCCACUUGUUUUUCAUCAGAAAAUUCAGCUACCAAUUAACUGGAACCAAAUCCAUUUAGAUACAAUUUGAGCAAUACAGAUUGUGCCGCCGCCAUCUCUUUCAUAACGUAAACCAAAACCCUAACAAAAGCACAUAAAUAUUUAGUUCAAAAUAUCUUUUGUGCGUGUAAAGAUUUAAAGAUCUAAUUAUUGCGAGUUUACCUAAAUUUUAAUAUCGAUCGGAGAGGAACGUGGGAGGAGCAAAGUGAGUAAAAAGAGAAAAUCUUCUUAUAGCUCCCUCUUAUCCCGCGCGACUUCUAAGGUUUUGGUUUUGAUAGAGAAAGGGAUAUUCUUGAAGAGGCGCGGCCAGGAAGGAGAAGAGGGAGUGAAAAGUGAAAGGGCUUUUAGAGAGAGAAAGUGGCUUUUACUUUGCUCUGUGUAGUAUAGUAUUAGUGGGGGAUAAAUUUUUUCAACAAGAUAUUUGUUGAAG
rnacentral:lncRNA from 1 species